CUACGUUUAUGUUCAGUUUAUAACAUGCCAGUACUCAUAUCAUCCAUAUUUUUUUAUAGUGAAAAAAACAUCAGUUCUGACUGCAGCUGUAGGAAUCAUAGUGGUUGUUCUGGUUCUCAUCCUCUGUCUCUCUGGACUCAUGUGGUUCAGGAAGAAGGCCUCCAUAUCCACCUCUGACACAAGAGACACAUCAGAGAAUGUACAGGGAGACUCUAGUCCAGUGUAUGACAACAUCUCAAGCAUGGCCAUGACCCCUACUGCAGCACAGACAGCAGCCACAGACGACCAGGAUGAUGUUCACUACGCCAGCGUCCACUUCUCUCACUCCAAAAACCAGGAUGUUCCUCUGUACUCCACCGUCCAACUGCCUCAGCCCCAGAAACAGGAUGAGGAUGUCCAGUACGAUGCUGUGAAAUUCAACUUCCCCAGUGCUGCUACCCGGUGAGCAUAUUCUGCAUUAAUGUCAUUCAUAUGCUGCAGUUUAUUGUAGGAGAUGUCAUCAAUAAGCAAAACAGUUGACCCUUAGUGACCACUAUGAAC
rnacentral:lncRNA from 1 species